UUCAAGUGUAGCUGUGAUUUUCCGUGUUCAAUUUUGAUCGUCUGUUUUAUUUAAAAUAUUUUUAUAAAUUAGUAUUUUUUUGUUAUAGAUGAUAAAAUAUGAAUAGUACGACUUAUAUUUUUAAUUUAUUUUCAAAUUUUUUUCAAAUAAGAUAUAUGAUUAAAGUUGGGCGUGAAAAACCAUGGCUACACUUAAA
rfam:Oryza sativa Japonica Group DNA, chromosome 7, cultivar: Nipponbare, complete sequence.